rnacentral:rRNA from 1 species
UACGGGGGGGGCAAGCGUUGUUCGGAAUUACUGGGCGUAAAGGGCUCGUAGGCGGCCAACUAAGUCAGACGUGAAAUCCCUCGGCUUAACCGGGGAACUGCGUCUGAUACUGGAUGGCUCGAGUGCAGGAGAGGAACGCGGAAUUCCAGGUGUAGCGGUGAAAUGCGUAGAUAUCUGGAGGAACACCGGUGGCGAAGGCGGCGUUCUGGACUGCAACUGACACUGAGGAACGAAAGCCAGGGGAGCAAACGGG